rnacentral:other from 1 species
GGUUUAAUUACCCAAGUUCGAGGUAAUUGAAUGUUUCGGCCCAGAGUUUAGGCUACUGUGGCUUGAAGUAA